rnacentral:rRNA from 1 species
GGUUCUCUCCGAAAUAUAUUUAGGUAUAGCGUUGUGUCGUAAUAUAAGGGGGUAGAGCACUGAAUGGGCUAGGGCAUACACCAAUGUACCAAACCCUAUCAAACUCCGAAUACCUUAUAUGUAAUCACAGCAGUCAGGCGGCGAGUGAUAAAAUCCGUCGUCAAGAGGGAAACAACCCAGACUACCAGCUAAGGUCCCUAAAUCUUACUUAAGUGGAAAACGAUGUGAAGUUACUUAAACAACCAGGAGGUUGGCUUAGAAGCAGCCAUCCUUUAAAGAAAGCGUAAUAGCUCACUGGUCUAGUGAUUUUGCGCGGAAAAUAUAACGGGGCUAAAGUAAGUACCGAAGCUGUAGACUUGCGCACAACUUAGAUUAUUUAAGUUUAGAAUAUGAGAAACUAAGUUAUGUUUAGUUAUAUUUUUACUGAUUUUUAUAGAGUAAAGAUAGAAAUAAAACUUAGUAAAAUCAGUAAAAAUAUUCUUAGACUAAAGUUAAGUAGUUUAAGUUGUGUGCAAGUGGUAGGAGAGCGUUCUAUUUGCGUCGAAGGUAUACCGGUAAGGAGUGCUGGAGCGAAUAGAAGUGAGCAUGCAGGCAUGAGUAGCGAUAAUUAAUGUGAGAAUCAUUAACGCCGUAAACCCAAGGUUUCCUACGCGAUGCUCGUCAUCGUAGGGUUAGUCGGGUCCUAAGUCGAGUCCGAAAGGGGUAGACGAUGGCAAAUUGGUUAAUAUUCCAAUACCAACAUUAGUGUGCGAUGGAAGGACGCUUAGGGCUAAGGGGGCUAGCGGAUGGAAGUGCUAGUCUAAGGUCGUAGGAGGUUAUACAGGCAAAUCCGUAUAACAAUACUCCGAGAACUGAAAGGCUUUUUGAAGUCUUCGGAUGGAUAGAAGAACCCCUGAUGCCGUCGAGCCAAGAAAAGUUUCUAAGUUUAGCUAAUGUUGCCCGUACCGUAAACCGACACAGGUGGGUGGGAUGAGUAUUCUAAGGCGCGUGGAAGAACUCUCUUUAAGGAACUCUGCAAAAUAGCACCGUAUCUUCGGUAUAAGGUGUGGUUAGCUUCGUACUAGGAUUUACUCCGAAAGCGAAGAAACUUACAACAAAGAGUCCCUCCCGACUGUUUACCAAAAACACAGCACUCUGCUAACUCGUAAGAGGAUGUAUAGGGUGUGACGCCUGCCCGGUGCUCGAAGGUUAAUUGAUGGGGUUAGCAUUAGCGAAGCUCUUGAUCGAAGCCCGAGUAAACGGCGGCCGUAACUAUAACGGUCCUAAGGUAGCGAAAUUCCUUGUCGGUUAAAUACCGACCUGCAUGAAUGGCGUAACGAGAUGGGAGCUGUCUCAAAGAGGGAUCCAGUGAAAUUGUAGUGGAGGUGAAAAUUCCUCCUACCCGCGGCAAGACGGAAAGACCCCGUGGACCUUUACUACAGCUUGACACUGCUACUUGGAUAAGAAUGUGCAGGAUAGGUGGGAGGCUUUGAGUAUAUGACGCCAGUUGUAUAUGAGCCAUUGUUGAGAUACCACUCUUUCUUAUUUGGGUAGCUAACCAGCUUGAGUUAUCCUCAAGUGGGACAAUGUCUGGUGGGUAGUUUGACUGGGGCGGUCGCCUCCCAAAUAAUAACGGAGGCUUACAAAGGUUGGCUCAGAACGGUUGGAAAUCGUUCGUAGAGUAUAAAGGUAUAAGCCAGCUUAACUGCAAGACAUACAAGUCAAGCAGAGACGAAAGUCGGUCUUAGUGAUCCGGUGGUUCUGUGUGGAAGGGCCAUCGCUCAAAGGAUAAAAGGUACCCCGGGGAUAACAGGCUGAUCUCCCCCAAGAGCUCACAUCGACGGGGAGGUUUGGCACCUCGAUGUCGGCUCAUCGCAUCCUGGGGCUGGAGCAGGUCCCAAGGGUAUGGCUGUUCGCCAUUUAAAGCGGUACGCGAGCUGGGUUCAGAACGUCGUGAGACAGUUCGGUCCCUAUCUGCCGUGGGCGUAAGAAGAUUGAAGAGAUUUGACCCUAGUACGAGAGGACCGGGUUGAACAAACCACUGGUGUAGCUGUUGUUCUGCCAAGAGCAUCGCAGCGUAGCUAAGUUUGGAAAGGAUAAACGCUGAAAGCAUCUAAGCGUGAAGCCAACUCUAAGAUGAAUCUUCUCUAAGCUCUCUAGAAGACUACUAGUUUGAUAGGCUGGGUGUGUAAUGGAUGAAAGUCCUUUAGCUGACCAGUACUAAUAGAGCGUUUGGCUUAUCUUUAAUAAAGCAU